AGGCAGCAGUGGGGAAUAUUGCACAAUGGGCGCAAGCCUGAUGCAGCCAUGCCGCGUGUAUGAAGAAGGCCUUCGGGUUGUAAAGUACUUUCAGCAGUGAGGAAGGUGGAUAUGUUAAUAGCAUAUUCAUUUGACGUUAGCUGCAGAAGAAGCACCGGCUAACUCCGUGCCAGCAGCCGCGGUAAUACGGAGGGUGCGAGCGUUAAUCGGAAUUACUGGGCGUAAAUCGCAUGCAGGUGGUUUGUUAAGUCAGAUGUGAAAGCCCGGGGCUCAACCUCGGAAUUGCAUUUGAAACUGGCAAACUAGAGUACUGUAGAGGGGGUAGAAUUUCAGGUGUAGCGGUGAAAUGCGUAGAGAUCUGAAGGAAUACCGGUGGCGAAGGCGGCCCCCUGGACAGAUACUGACACUCAGAUGCGAAAGCGUGGGGAGCAAACAGGAUUAGAUACCCUGGUAG
rnacentral:rRNA from 1 species